rnacentral:pre_miRNA from 1 species
UCUCAUGGAUUAGCAAAGAAGGUUGUUUCUUAAGAUGGAGUCUAUUCCUGGUGAAGAUGCUGUGAA